AUGGGUAUUAAAGAGGGCACAUUCUGCAUGGAGCACUGGGUGUUACGCACAAACAGUGAAUCAUGGAACACUACAUCUAAAACUAAUGAUGUAAUGUAUGGUGAUUAACAUAACAAUAAAAAAAUUUUUUAAAAAGAAUGAAAGCAAAAUACAGAAAAGAACAUACUAGACAAAUAUAAAAAAAAAGAAAGCUGGGAUUAGUGAUAAUAGCAUGCAAACAGCAUUAUUAAGGAGAACAAAGAAAAUGAUACAAGGUACAAAUAAGUAAGUAGACCUAAAACUGUAAAUUUGCAUGCUUAAAAGAAAACACUCGCCAACAUAGUGGCCUAAGCAAAAAAGAUGGGGAAGACUAUCUCCCAAACAGACUUCCUGGCUGAGGAUGGUAGCACUGGUGGGGGAAGCAUGUCUGUCCCCAAACCAGUAAGCUGGACUGAUCUGGAAGAUGUUUCAAGCACGUAGCACAAUAAUGAUGACAGCAUGUAUAAGGCACCUGCAACUGACCACUGCUCCACAGGCUGCCUGGCAACCUAGUAUCAACCAGAACCAUCUUCCCAAAUUGCUACUCUAUGCUCCUUCUCUAGGGAACACAACUUGUGAUGUGACAGAAGUCUACAUUAAGGAAUUCUUUAGAGGAUUAAAUACCAGUGUAGUGCAUUUACCAUUUGAACCCAGCAAGCCAGAGAGGUUGAAAGGUUUGAUCCCAUGGAGUUUGAGAGCCUGCCUUCCUUGCUCAGUACCCUGAGCCUCAAUGAAAAGUCUCUGGUUAACAAAAUUUCAAUGGACACUCCUGAUCAAGCUCAAGAGAGAGACAAGGAUGCUCAUUCUUUUGACUGAGCAAGAAAUCGGGAUUCUCACAAAACAUCCAAACAGCCUGGAUGACUACCUAGAAGAGGUGAUGACAGCUUUGAAGGCAAACAUCAUAAUCAUUAUGGAGGCCAGGAUUGCUGUGAUGACUAACACAGCAGAGACUACGACUGAGGCUAUGACUCCAGGAUUAAACAGCAGCAGAAGUAUAUACGGUAGUGGGUACAACAGGGAUGAUGACUACAGAGGGAGUGGGACCACCGGGAAGACCAAUAUGAUAGACAUGAUGUUUAGUUGAGGAGCUGCAAAGACAACUAUUCUGGGGAUGAUUACAUGUGAUGACAGAGGUCCCUCUCAAAGAACCAAACUGAAUCUAAAGCUUCAGAGUACUCCUAAGGAAGAGGACUCCUUGGCUGGCACUUCCCAGUCGAGUCAAGCAGCUCCUAUGUUUGGAGCAGCAAGGCCUAUUGACCCAGUUACAAGAGAACAAGAAGUAGAAAAGCAGCUACAGAAGGAACAGGAGAAAUCGUAGCAUCAGCUAGAUGAACCAGAACUAGAAUGACAGCCUUAGAAGAAACACCCAAACUGGCAAAGUGAAAAAACUCAGAAACAAGAAUGGUCAAGGACAGGAAGUUUCUCAUCUCAAACUGGGACCUCAGCUGCAUCAGAAGUCAGAGCAGGAUGCACAAAGGAGAGAAAGUGAGAAAUCUGGAAAAUGAAAUACUCAGUACGGCAGAAGACUGCCACUCUCCAACUUCUAAUCUUCCCAAACCUGAUUAGCUGCUAAAGGUAAUGCUGUCCCCUCCAUUAAAAGUGGAUGCUUGGGUGAAGUGAAGUGUUAAUUCUUAUGCUUGAUUUCAGAGCUCAAACAGAACAGCAAUCUCCUAGAAGGGAAGGGGGAAAGUAGCUCCAGCUCACCAUCUCAGGAAGGAUCAACCUGAAAAGAUAAAAAUAAACUAGAUGAGGUGAGAGUGUCCAAAAAGUAGAAGCAGGAAGUCCAGCAUGGCCCAAGACAUGAAGGGAACAAAGACAAAUGGAAGGAGUCUGAAAGGAAACAUGGCAAAAAGGAUCAAAAUUCCAAAUAUGGGGGCUCCUGGGUAGCUCAGUCGGUUAAGUGUCUUGAUCUCAUGGUCCUGAGUUUGAGCCCCACGUUGGGCUCCACACUAGGUUUGGAGCUUACUUAAAAAAAAAAAAAAAAAGUCCAAAUCUGCACCUGAGCCAAAGACACCUGAAGAAUCCAGCCUGUAAGUUCAGUACUGUAAGUAUUCCACUCUCCCAGCUGAUGGAUAAGGUUAAAAUGAGGGGGAAGAUUAUACAGAAUAGACCUCCACAUCCUGCACUUUUUCCUGCUCUCUAGCUACCCUGAAACAUUCCUGAACAAAUCGAAUAUCUAUCCAAACAAGACAAAAUAUCCAGACAAACUCACCAUCUCUUGGCAAGGGGAAAAAAGCCUCAAAGGACUUUUAGAACUACAGGAAGAAAUUUACAAAUUGGCAUUGCUGUAGGUGAUUUCAACACAGUCCAAUUUUUCAUAGGUCAAAUAAACCAAAAAAUAAAAAUAAAAACAAAAUGAUGAAAAAGCAGGACUUAACAAACAUAUAUAGGUAUAAGGUUCUAUAACCUUAUACCCAACUGUUAGAAAAUAAACAUUCUUCUCAAGCAUAAAUGAAGCAUAUAGAAAACCAAUACAUACUGGUACAUAAUGAAAAUCUCACUGAAUUUCAAAGAAUAUGUAUAAUGUUGUUCCUAGGUGCUGACCAUAUACAAUUAAGUAAAAAAAAAAAAAAAACCAAUAGGGAGCGCUUGGGUGGCUCAGUUGGUUAAGGGUCUGCCUUUGACCCACGUCAUGAUCCCGGGGUCCUGGGAUUGAACCGUGCAUUAGGCUCCCUGCUCAGCAGGGAGUCUGCUUUUCUGUCUCCCUCUGCCCCCCCCUCGUGUGCACACACGCUCACGCUCUCUCUUGUAAAUAAAUAAAUAAAAUCUUAAAAAAAUCAAUAAUGGAAGAUGAAUUUUAAAAACACAAAUAGAAAAAAACUUCUAAAGAUUUCAUGGGUCAGAAGAAACCAUGCUGAAAAAAUUUUUUAAAACUAUUAAGAACUGAAUGAUAUCAAAGGUACCAUAUAAAAAUUUGUGGGAUACAACAAAAGUUAACUUAGAGGCAAAUCUAUAGCCUUAAACACUUAUACUAGGAAAAGAAGAAAGGCUGAAAAUUAGUAAGUAAAUAGGCCAAUUUGUUAACCUAGAAAGCAAUCAACAGAGUAAACCCCAAAAAAGUACAAAUAAUAAAGAAAAGAAACUAAUGAAGUAGAAGAAAGGUAACAGAAGUAUUAACAAAGGGGAGGCUGGGUGGCUCUGUCAGUUGAGUAUCGACUCUUGAUUGCAGCUAGGGUUGUAAUCUUGGAGUCGUGGUAUUGAGCCCUAUGUUGGGCUCCGUGCUCAGCAUAGAGUCUGCUUAGGUUUCUCUCUCUCCCUCUCCCUCUACCCCUCCCCCCGCUUGUACACAUGCUCAUGCUCUCUCUCUGAAAUAAAUAAAAUCUAAAAAAAAAAAAAAAAAAAGGAUUUAACAAAGUUAGAAUUCUUAGAAAACACUAAAAAAAUAAAUGUCUGACAAGACUGACGAAGGGUAAAUAAAACAAAACAAAAUAGGAAGCCCCAAAAGAGACCAAGGUAUGUAAGGACAUCCUCAGGUAACAGAUGUAACAAUGCAGAUCUGAGGAACAAGAGGGACAACUAAAUAAUACUGAAAUUACCUAUAUGGAAAAACUAAAUUGGAUCCUCACAUCAUAUACAAAAUCAAUUCAAGAUGGAUUAGUGAUGUACAUAUGAAAGACAAACUUUAAAAUUUUUAGAAGAAAUUAGAGCAGAAAACUACUGUUUUUGUGCCCUGCCAGAAAAAGAUUUCUUAAACAAGCAUACCAACCAAAAAAGAAAAGUGUGAAUAUUUUGACUAUGUGGAAACCAAGAACUUCUGUCUAUCAUAAAACAUAAUAAAGCAAAUUAAAAAGAUAAGCUACAAACUGGAAGAUAUUUACAAAACACAAGCUGAUUAAAGAUUAGUAUUUAAACUAUAUGAGAAUGUCUAUAAAAAAACACAAGUAGUCAAAUGGGCAAAAAACUUGAACAGGAAUUUUAUAGAACAAGGAAACUUGUAAGGCCAAUUAGUAUAUGAAAAGAUGCAAAAUCUCAUUAUUCAUCAGUGAAAUACAAGUUAAGACCACAUGAGAUGUUAUUUUUAAACUUACUAGAAAAAUAAACUCACUAGAAUGAUAAAAACUAGAAAUGUUGACAGUACCAAAUAAUGGCCAAAAAAAAAAAAAAAAAAAAAGUAAAGAAGGUGGUGGCUCCUAUAGAAUGCUACUAGGUGUUUAAAUUGGUAAAAUCCUCCUGGUAGGUGUUAAAAUUGGUACAAUUGCUGGAAAACAAUUUGGCAUUAUCACAUAAAGUUGAAAUU